AAAGCAAGCUGGGCAAUCGCGAGUAAUCGAGGAAAGUCCGGACUCCAUAGAGCAAGGUAGCGGCUAACAGCCGUCCAUUCAGCGAUGAAUGAGGAAUAGGGCCACAGAGACGAGUUUACUAUGUGGGCUUAAUGAUUUUGGUCUUUAGGCUCUGGUACGGUUAGUUCCGUAUGGCGUUAUAUUUAUAACAGCAUAGUAAGGUGAAACGCGGUAACCUCUAUCUGGAGCAACAUCAAAUAGGCAUAUGGGCUGCUCGUCCUAUGUAUGCGGGUAGAUGGCUUGAACUUUAUAGUAAUAUAAAGUCUAGAGGAAUGAUUGCCGACCUUUUAGGUUUACAUAAUCCGGCUUAUAGGCUUGCUUUGUCU
rnacentral:RNase_P_RNA from 1 species